CACGUAGGGUGCGAGCGUUGUCCGGAAUUAUUGGGCGUAAAGAGCUCGUAGGCGGUGUGUCGCGUCGGCCGUGAAAACCUGCAGCUUAACUGUGGGCUUGCGGUCGAUACGGGCAUCACUGGAGUUCGGCAGGGGAGACUGGAAUUCCUGGUGUAGCGGUGAAAUGCGCAGAUAUCAGGAGGAACACCGGUGGCGAAGGCGGGUCUCUGGGACGGUACUGACGCUGAGACGCGAAAGCGUGGGGAGCGAACAGG
rnacentral:rRNA from 1 species